UGACCAGGUCGCAAAAUCUGGCCAUGGCCCC
rnacentral:sRNA from 1 species